AUGGAUGUUGGAGAAACGCCAAGACUGACGUCUCUUUCUCAUUUCACAGAGACAACCGUGUCCAUCGAGAACAAUGACAGUACAAAGAAGGAGAAAGAGAUGAAGCCUUUGUGGAUGACCAUCAUGAUGGUCUACAUAGUCUUCCUGAUCAGCAUCUGUUAUGGAGCCAUUACUACGUUGUUCAAAUGCAGCUAUAGUGCAGCUACUGGGCUACAGAAAGAGGCACCUCGCAUCUUGGCCAGUGGAAGAGAGAAGGAGAAAGUUGGAGACCCCUGCAUUAGAGGGUGUAUCUACUCCAUCUUCAUCAUCUUGUCUUUAUCUUUCCCUACAGGAACUCCCAAAGCCCCCUCUGUGUUUCCAUUGAGUCCUAGUGACCCAGCCCGGGUGACCAGGUCGACUUCCUCUGACUCCAAAGUUACCAUCGGUUGUCUCGUCAAAAAUUACUUUCCUGAACCAGCCACAGUGCAAUGGAACUCAGGCGCCAUCACCAGUGGAAUCCACCACUUCCCUCCAGUUGUUCAUUCGUCUGGCCACUAUACUCACACCAGCCUGCUCACCAUCCCCGCCAGCCAGUGGGAAUCUGAGACAUUCCACUGCAACGUGGACCAUGAAGCUACCCACACCAGAAUUAACACAAACAUUGAGCGAUGUGACCAUGAACCGGUGGCUCCUAGGGUCCAUCUGCUGCAUUCCUCUUGCAACCCGAAAGGCAGUGAUGGAACCAUAGCGCUGGUGUGUUUCAUUGAGAGUUUCUACCCCAAAGAGAUUAACGUUGAAUGGCUGGUGGGCAGCCACCAGGGAUUGCUGACUCCCUUCACUGAACCUCCAAAGCGUGAUUCAAAUACAUACACUUUCAGCACCAACAGCGUCGUCAACAUCACUCAAGAAGAUUGGUUGGAAGGAAAUACUUACUACUGCCAGGUAACCCACGCAGCAUCGCAAACAAGGACAAAAAGCAGAGCCAGGAAAUGUGAAGAUGCCAUCAGCCACUUCUCCACUCCGGUUACCACCUACCUUCUGCCCCCACAACCAAAAGACUUGUACAUAAACAGAAAUGCCAAGAUCGUUUGCGUAGUUGUCAAUCUGCAACAGGAAGAUGGGUUGAAAAUAAGCUGGUCACGUGAGAAGCAAGUCGCCGCGCAUCCAGAAUUAUUGGUGGUGACCGAAGAAAACAAUGGGACCUUCACCGCUGUCAGCCGCCUCCCUGUCUCUGCCCAAGAUUGGGAAUCACAUGAGACUUUCACCUGUUCAGUAGAAUAUCCAAGUUUGCCUGGUCCCAUCGAGAAGACAAUUACCAAGAGCAGAGAAAAGAGCCAGGCACCCAUCAUCCACGUCUACCCUCCCAUCCCUGGUAAUUCACUUAUCCUCACCUGCUUCAUCCGUGGCUUUGUCCCCGCUGAUAUCAAUGUGGGGUGGCUGAAGAAUGGCCAGGCCGUUCCAGAAAAUGAAUAUGUCAACACCCCAGCUGUGAAGGAAAAGAGUGGCGAUUCCCACUUUGAGUAUAGCAAACUGACCAUCUCUCAAUCAUCUUGGGACAAGGGAGACCUGUAUAGCUGUAUGGUUGUCCACGAGGGCCUUGAAAACAAGUUGACCCAGAAGAGCAUAGAGAAAACUUCGGGUAAACGUUGAAGACUCAAAAUAUGCGUUGUCCUUCUAGAUUCGUCUCUCACGGUGUUGGAUCCCAAUCUUUGUAAAUAGUUUACAUGCUAACAUGUUUGGCUCCUGGCUUAAUAAAAGCAAACCAACUCAAA